GGUUGGAGCUAGGGUUAGGGUUAGGGUUAGGGUUGGAGCUAGGGUUAGGGUUAGGGUUAGGGUUGGAGCUAGGGUUAGGGUUAGGGUUAGGGUUGGAGCUAGGGUUAGGGUUAGGGUUAGAGUUGGAGCUAGGGUUAGGGUUGGAGCUAGGGUUAGGGUUGGAGCUAGGGUUAGGGUUAGGGUUAGGGUUAGGGUUGGAGCUAGAGUUAGGGUUGCAGCUAAGGUUAGGGUUAGGGUUAGGGUUGGAGCUAGGGUUAGGGUUAGGGUUGGAGCUAGGGUUAGGGUUAGGGUUGGAGCUAGGGUUAGGGUUAGGGUUAGGGUUAGGGUUGGAGCUAGGGUUAGGGUUAGGGUUAGGGUUGGAGCUAGGGUUAGGGUUAGGGUUAGGGUUGGAGCUAGGGUUACGGUUAGGGUUAGAGUUAGGGUUGGAGCUAGGGUUAGGGUUGGAGCUAGGGUUAGGGUUAGGGUUGGAGCUAGGGUUAGAGCUAGGGUUAGGGUUAGGUUUGGAGCUAGGGUUAGGGUAAGGGUUAGGGUUGGAGCUAGGGUUAGGGUUAGGGUUGGAGCUAGGGUUAGGGUUAGGUUGGAGCUAGGGUUAGGGUUAGGGUUGGAGCUAGGGUUAGGGUUAGGGUUAGGGUUGGAAC